GGACAGGUGGCUCAACGUGAACGUGGGCAGGUAGUCCUCGCGUGACAACCACAAUUGAGCUCAACGUUUACGUUGUGGAGUGGAAACAUGCAUUGAGUUUGCCCCCAUUUUUACGAGUUUUCUUGCCGUGGUUGUUAAGCAAACCCCCCCCCCUCCCAUUGCUAAGUGAGUGACAUGGUUGUUAAGGGAGUCUGGCUUUGACGUUGCAGAAGGUCCCCAAAGGGUGGUGCAGGGACACUACAACCGUCCAUAAAGACGAGUCCGCUGCCAAGCACCUGAGUUUUGAUCACGUGACCCUGGGGAUGCUGCAACAGUCGUAAGUGUGAAAAAUGGUCAUCAGUCACUUAGUUUUCAGGGCCAUUCGAACGGUCACUAAAUGAAUUGCUUUGUAAGGCAAGGACUGCCUGGAUUACCUUUGGUUUCUUCCAGGAGAUGGAAUGAUGUCGGUGAUCGUGCCCAGUCAACCUCUCUUCUUUGUGGUGGUGGAGACAUAACAAACGCACAACAGACUCCGGGCACAGUGAUGACAGAGGAUGUGGCUGUUCAGGUCACCGAGAAAGAAGCGAUCCUGCCAGAUCCUGGCCAGAAAGUUUUCCGCAAGCAAACCGUGGAGCAAGACUGUGGACUAAUGGCUGCCUUUGAAGCCGAUAAGUGGGCAGCCGAGAGAAAAGGAGACCCAUCACUGGGGCUGCCAGAAGGAGAUGGCAUUAAGAAGAGGGAGAAGCAGAGGAGAAAAUCGGUACCGAAUCGAAAAGGAUGAUGGAACUGAAUGAGUGCUCCGCUUCUCAGAGCAGCAAUUUCCAUCAAAAUGCAGUCCAAGAAAAAUAGAGAAGAUGAAUAGUAAGUG
rnacentral:lncRNA from 1 species